AUGUACAUGAAUACAAUGUUAAUGCACCUAAUCCCAUCAAAACUCCCCAGUUAAGCAUGGUUGGGCUAUAGUAGUACUAGGAUAUGUGACCUCCUCAGAAGUCCUAGUAUUUUACACG
rnacentral:rRNA from 1 species